CAAAAAUAGACAUUUAAAAAAUUUAUAAAAAAAGAAAAUUACUGAUCGAUAGAUUAAAAUUUACAUUUCUGGAGGAGGUUGAAACUGCAAUUAGGUCAGGUAUUAAGCCCCGGUUUGGUGCUUUAGCCUGGCCCCAGUAACACUGUUACUGUUACUGUUACUGGAGCCUGUGGCUUUCUUUUUUAACAACGUCAGUAAAAUCCCUUUCUUCUUCAACUGGAGCAAGCUGGGUUUCUGUCACUUGCAACAAAAAUGACCUAAGAUGUUAAAAAACUAUGGGCACCUGUGCAGCUGCAACCUGGUCUAAGAAUGGUACGUGCACAUUUUGUGUCAACCUUGUACCCAUUCUAGGAAGGAAGAAUUAAGUGCCAUCCACUUUACAAAUGAAGUGAGGAUCAGAGCACACCAUCACUUGCCCGAGGACAGACAGGCAGACAGAGCAAUCUCACCACACCCGAGACCUUCAAGAUGGGGGCGCUGUCCAAGGUACCAUUUGUUGACCUGCUUGUCAAGCCCUGUCAAGGACUGGCUUCAGGGCUCCACCCCAGCCUCCUCCUUUCCACCCUCUUCAUUUUGUCCCUGGCUGGACAUCUACCCCCUUGAACUUGAUCAUAUCCUGAUGGUUUUCGUUCGUUUGUCCCCGGACCCAGCUCUGACCUGGGGGCCAAUUGCUCAGCCAGCCAGGACAUUGUGGGUGAACCACAAUGGAGAAAAUCGCUGGGCCACUCUCAGCUUCUCCACCCCUUCAUUGUCCCUCCUCUGGGCCCCACCCAGCCUCUCAACGAUUGAAAGCUCCUUCCCAUACCCUCAUCUUCCUCUUUCCUCGUCACCUUCAUGCUCAGAAGGGAAGUGCUCUCCCUCCUUGACCCUCAGCCACACGCAUGGACACGUGUGCACAUUUCUCAUUUAUAACAUUCUAACGAGAGGACUGCCCAGCAUCUCCGCGUUACAGAUGAGCAAACAGAUGAGGCUCACAGGGAUGAAGUGACCCACCCAAGACUACUAUCCAGGACAGAAGAGUUAAGAUUUGGAGCCUGUCUAUUCAGCCCUGGGAGCCUAGGUUCUCAACACUUCACCUCAGUGCCCGGUUCAACAUUGACUCCACUCUCUCCACAUCAUUCAGAUUUGGUGGUGCACCUGACACCUUACACGGAGUCCAACUGUCAAGCCCUUGUACAAGCUAGGGUGGCCUCCCUGCCCAGAAUGGGGUGACCUUAAGGGCCCAUGGAAGUGUGUGUUAAGGUUUUUGGGGUUUUUUUUUGAUGGAGUUACUCUCUCCUGUACAGUCUUCAUCCCACCAAGCAUCAUCUUUCAUGGCUGACUGAUGAGGAGGGGUGAGAUGUUGCCAAGGCAGUGUUUAUUGCUGGCUAGGGCAUGGAUAAGUAGGGGGCUGGGGGGUCUGAGGGUCUACCUUCCCAGCCCCACAGACCCACUGGUGGGGGGAGCCCAGAGGCACAUGGCUGUCCUGGAGGUUGGCCGAUCUCAGCACCGCUGGGCCCUGGAACUUGAAGGCAAACUCAUCCUCGUAUUGGGUUGAGAAGAAGCGCUGUCCACCCAGCGGGGGCUCAAUGUGGUUAUACUUGCACUGUGGAGUCAGGGCGGGGAGCCUGGCAGGACAGCCUGAAGGGUGGUUGACCUACCUGGCCCACCCCGUGGUCCCCAUAUGACCCUGGGAGCAGCAAAGGCUGAUGAUUGGACUCUGAGGAGGUAGGCAAAAGGUGUCCCAGUUUGGGCUGCCCCAGGAGCUGGAUGGGAAGCUGGAGAGAAACUGGGGGACCCCUGGAAUGACCCCAGAGCUGUGGUGACCUUAGGCAACUCUGAUCUACCCCUCAGCUGAGGGUAUACCUGUGGCUGGUGAUAUAAAGAUGUCCUUGAGCUGGCCCUGAAGUGACA